rnacentral:rRNA from 1 species
UGCCAGCCGCCGCGGUAAUACGGAGGGGGCGAGCGUUAUUCGGAAUUAUUGGGCGUAAAGGGCGCGUAGGCGGCCUGACAAGUCAGGGGUGAAAUCCCUCGGCUCAACCGAGGAACUGCCUCUGAAACUGUCAGGCUUGAGGCCGGGAGAGGGUGGCGGAAUUCCAGGUGUAGUGGUGAAAUACGUAGAUAUCUGGAAGAACACCAGAGGCGAAGGCGGCUUUCUGGACCGAUACUGACGCUGAGACGCGAAAGCGUGGGGAGCAAACAGGAUUAGAUA